rnacentral:rRNA from 1 species
AGGAUGAACGCUGGCGGCGUGCCUAAAACAUGCAAGUCAUACGGUCUACCUUCGGGUAGACAGUGGCAAACGGGUGAGUAACACGUGGGAACACGCCUUCGAGUGGGGAAUAACGCUGAGAAAUCAGUGCUAAUACCGUAUAUGGUCUAACGACUAAAGCAGUAAUGCGCUCGGAGAGUGGCCCGCGUCCGAUUAGCUAGUUGGUGGGGUAAUGGCCUACCAAGGCGGUGAUCGGUAGCUGGUCUGAGAGGAUGGUCAGCCACACCGGGACUGCGAACGGCCCAGACUCCUACGGGAGGCAGCAGUUAGGAAUUUUCGGCAAUGGACGAAAGUCUGACCGAGCGACGCCGCGUGGAGGACGAAGCCUUUCGGGGUGUAAACUCCUUUUCUGCGGGAAGAUAAUGACGGUACCGCAGGAAUAAGCACCGGCUAACUACGUGCCAGCAGCCGC